rnacentral:rRNA from 7 species
AAAACGACUCUCGACAACGGAUAUCUCGGCUCUCGCAUCGAUGAAGAACGUAGCUAAAUGCGAUACUUGGUGUGAAUUGCAGAAUCCCGUGAACCAUCGAGUCUUUGAACGCAAGUUGCGCCCGAAGCCGUCAGGCCGAGGGCACGUCUGCCUGGGCGUCACGCAUCGCGUCGCCCCCC